rnacentral:rRNA from 1 species
UACGGAGGGUGCAAGCGUUAUCCGGAUUCACUGGGUUUAAAGGGUGCGUAGGUGGGUUGGUAAGUCAGUGGUGAAAUCUCCGUGCUUAACAUGGAAACUGCCAUUGAUACUACUGAUCUUGAAUUUUCAGGAGGUAAGCGGAAUAUGCCAUGUAGCGGUGAAAUGCUUAGAUAUGACAUAGAACACCAAUUGCGAAGGCAGCUUACUACAGGAAUAUUGACACUGAUGCACGAAAGCGUGGGGAUCAAACAGG